CCUACGGGAGGCAGCAGUGAGGAAUAUUGGUCAAUGGGCUUACGCCUGAACCAGCCAAGUCGCGUGAGGGAAGACUGCCCUAUGGGUUGUAAACCUCUUUUGUCAGGGAGCAACGCCGGCUACGUGUAGCCGGACUGAGAGUACCUGAAGAAAAAGCAUCGGCUACCUCCGUGCCAGCAGCCGCGGAAAUACGGAGGAUGCGAGCGUUAUCCGGAUUUAUUGGGUUUAAAGGGUGCGUAGGCGGAAUGCCAAGUCAGCGGGAAAAUCGCGGGGCUCAACCUCGCUCCGCCGUUGAAACUGGCGUUCUUGAGUGGGCGAGAAGUAGGCGGAAUGCGUGGUGUAGCGGUGAAAUGCAUAGAUAUCACGCAGAACUCCGAUUGCGAAGGCAGCAUACCGGCGCCCAACUGACGCUGAAGCACGAAAGCGUGGGUAUCGAACAGGAUUAGAUACCCUAGUAGUC
rnacentral:rRNA from 1 species